UAAUUUUAAAUCAAUUUUAUUAGUAAUUAUCCUUAGAUGAUGAUCAGUUUAUUUUUUUUAAUUUCAAUUAUAGCUAUUUUUAUCAUAGAUCGUUAAUUUGCAUUUUUAUAUGUCAUUUGUUAUAUUUGUUCAUAUUCAUUUUAAUAUUUUCUUAACACAAACAUAUAUUAAAUUACUCAAAAUAUUUAAUUAGCUCAUAAUUUUGGAUCCAAUAAUUUUGAGCCCAUAAUUUUAUAAAAGGGGGCCUCUUCUUUUCAAAGAAAGUGGCCCCACACCAUAUGUUUGACUUCUUCUUCAUCAAUGGAAUGCACAUGACAUCAAAAGCCAUAAUUUUACUUACUACACAAUUCCUCAAUUUACGCACAUCAUCACAAUAAGAUAAAAUUAAACCAAAAUUGCACCUAUCACACAAUUGACUUUUCUUGAUAUGCAUCAAUAACCCAACUGUAUAUAUCUUCAUAUAAGUGGUACAAUGUUAAAAAAAAAUUAAAACAUUUGCGGUUUAUUUUUAAGAACCCUUUAAUACCCAAAAUCUGUUCUUUAUCAAACUCGCCCUCAGCACCAGAACCCCAUAACCCAUUUUAUUCUUCUCCAUCGUCGGCAAGCAAACCUGUGUUGCAAGCUUUGCCUGAAACGAUCAUCAAAACCAUGCUGUUGUGACACACCCUGUCGUGAAUUCAGCUCCGGCAAGCUAACCCCAGUCCAUAAAGUUCCAAAUCUGAUAGGAAAGGAACUGGUGGAAAAAAAGGGCUCGAACCUGAAUCAAAUAGAGCAAGCAAGUUCGUAUUCUGUUCGGCUUACGGCUUCAUCCCCAGAGUAAGGAGAAAGAAGACACAUCGCCGAGGAAGCUUCUUCGUUCGAAGGGCUUUCUGCUUCAAAUCAAAUGUUGUUUGGAUUCAGCCUCUCGUUAGGUCUUCAUUGAGGAUUGUCCACCUUUAGUUUCCUCCCGAAAAAGCUAUUCGAAUUAAAUUCGAAUCAUAUUUUUAAUUUGUUAUUAUGUAUAUUAUUGGCUUUAGAAUAUUAUUUUAUUCUUUGUGUAUAUUUUAUGUUUAUACUUAUGCAUCA